rnacentral:rRNA from 1 species
CUAGCCAUGCGAGUCGAGAGUCGUAAUGGACUCGGCGGACUGCUCAGUAACACGUGGAUAACAUGCCCUGAAGUGGAGGAUAAUCUCGAGAAAUUGAGGAUAAUACUCCAUAGAUCAUAGGAUCUGGAAUGACUUAUGGUCGAAAGUUCCGGCGCUUCAGGAUUGGUCUGCGGCUUAUUAGGUCGUAGUGGGUGUAACGGACCCUCUAGCCGAUGACGAGUAUGGGCCUUGAGAGAGGGAGCCCAGAGAUGGAUUCUGAGACACGAAUCCAGGCCCUACGGGGCGCAGCAGUCGCGAAAACUUCACAAUGGAGGCAACUCCGAUGAGGGAAUUCCUAGUGCUAGUACAUUAGUAUUAGCUUUUCUUAAGCGUAAGUAACUUAAGGAAUAAGGGCUGGGUAAGACGGGUGCCAGCCGCCGCGGUAAUACCCGCAGCCCAAGUGGUGGUCGAUUUUAUUGAGUCUAAAACGUUCGUAGCCGGUUUGGUAAAUCCUUGGGUAAAUCGAAAGGCUUAACUUUUCGAAUUCCGAGGAGACUGCUAAACUUGGGACCGGGAGAGGCGAGAGGUACUUCUGGGGUAGGGGUAAAAUCCUGUAAUCCUAGAAGGACCACCGGUGGCGAAGGCGUCUCGCUAGAACGGAUCCGACGGUGAGGGACGAAGCCCUGGGUCGCAAACGGGAUUAGAUACCCCGGUAGUCCAGGGUGUAAACGCUGCAGACUUGGUGUUGGGGGCCCUACGGGGGCGUUCAGUGCCGGAGAGAAGUUGUUAAGUCUGCUACUUGGGGAGUACGUCCGCAAGGAUGAAACUUAAAGGAAUUGGCGGGGGAGCACCGCAACGGGAGGAGCGUGCGGUUUAAUUGGAUUCAACACCGGAAAACUCACCAGCGGCGACUGUUACAUGAAAGUCAGCCGAUGACCUUACUAGAUUUUCAGAGAGGUGUGCAUGGGC